rnacentral:rRNA from 1 species
AGAGUUUGAUCCUGGCUCAGGACGAACGCUGGCGGCGUGCCUAAUACAUGCAAGUAGAACGCUGAAGAGAGGAGCUUGCUCUUCUUGGAUGAGUUGCGAACGGGUGAGUAACGCGUAGGUAACCUGCCUUGUAGCGGGGGAUAACUAUUGGAAACGAUAGCUAAUACCGCAUAACAAUGGAUGACCCAUGUCAUUUAUUUGAAAGGGGCAAAUGCUCCACUACAAGAUGGACCUGCGUUGUAUUAGCUAGUAGGUGAGGUAACGGCUCACCUAGGCGACGAUACAUAGCCGACCUGAGAGGGUGAUCGGCCACACUGGGACUGAGACACGGCCCAGACUCCUACGGGAGGCAGCAGUAGGGAAUCUUCGGCAAUGGGGGCAACCCUGACCGAGCAACGCCGCGUGAGUGAAGAAGGUUUUCGGAUCGUAAAGCUCUGUUGUAAGUCAAGAACGAGUGUGAGAGUGGAAAGUUCACACUGUGACGGUAGCUUACCAGAAAGGGACGGCUAACUACGUGCCAGCAGCCGCGGUAAUACGUAGGUCCCGAGCGUUGUCCGGAUUUAUUGGGCGUAAAGCGAGCGCAGGCGGUUUGAUAAGUCUGAAGUUAAAGGCUGUGGCUCAACCAUAGUUCGCUUUGGAAACUGUCAAACUUGAGUGCAGAAGGGGAGAGUGGAAUUCCAUGUGUAGCGGUGAAAUGCGUAGAUAUAUGGAGGAACACCGGUGGCGAAAGCGGCUCUCUGGUCUGUAACUGACGCUGAGGCUCGAAAGCGUGGGGAGCGAACAGGAUUAGAUACCCUGGUAGUCCACGCCGUAAACGAUGAGUGCUAGGUGUUGGAUCCUUUCCGGGAUUCAGUGCCGCAGCUAACGCAUUAAGCACUCCGCCUGGGGAGUACGACCGCAAGGUUGAAACUCAAAGGAAUUGACGGGGGCCCGCACAAGCGGUGCAGCAUGUGGUUUAAUUCGAAGCAACGCGGAGAACCUUACCAGGUCUUGACAUCCCGAUGCUAUUUCUAGAGAUAGAAAGUUACUUCGGUACAUCGGUGACAGGUGGUGCAUGGUUGUCGUCAGCUCGUGUCGUGAGAUGUUGGGUUAAGUCCCGCAACGAGCGCAACCCCUAUUGUUAGUUGCCAUCAUUCAGUUGGGCACUCUAGCGAGACUGCCGGUAAUAAACCGGAGGAAGGUGGGGAUGACGUCAAAUCAUCAUGCCCCUUAUGACCUGGGCUACACACGUGCUACAAUGGUUGGUACAACGAGUUGCGAGUCGGUGACGGCAAGCUAAUCUCUUAAAGCCAAUCUCAGUUCGGAUUGUAGGCUGCAACUCGCCUACAUGAAGUCGGAAUCGCUAGUAAUCGCGGAUCAGCACGCCGCGGUGAAUACGUUCCCGGGCCUUGUACACACCGCCCGUCACACCACGAGAGUUUGUAACACCCGAAGUCGGUGAGGUAACCUUUUGGAGCCAGCCGCCUAAGGUGGGAUAGAUGAUUGGGGUGAAGUCGUAACAAGGUA